rnacentral:rRNA from 1 species
GAUGAACGCUGGCGGCGUGCCUAAUACAUGCAAGUCGAACGCUUCACUUCGGUGAAGAGUGGCGAACGGGUGAGUAAUACAUAAGUAACCUGGCAUCUACAGGGGGAUAACUGAUGGAAACGUCAGCUAAGACCGCAUAGGUGUAGAGAUCGCAUGAACUCUAUAUGAAAAGUGCUACGGGACUGGUAGAUGAUGGACUUAUGGCGCAUUAGCUUGUUGGUAGGGUAACGGCCUACCAAGGCGACGAUGCGUAGCCGACCUGAGAGGGUGACCGGCCUCACUGGGACUGAGACACGGCCCAGACUCCUACGGGAGGCAGCAGUAGGGAAUUUUCGGCAAUGGGGGAAACCCUGACCGAGCAACGCCGCGUGAAGGAAGAAGUAAUUCGUUAUGUAAACUUCUGUCAUAGAGGAAGAACGGUGGAUAUAGGGAAUGAUAUCCAAGUGACGGUACUCUAUAAGAAAGCCACGGCUAACUACGUG